UACGUAGGUCCCGAGCGCUGUCCGGAUUUAUUGGGCGUAAAGCGAGCGCAGGUAGUUUAUUAAGUCUGGUGUAAAAGGCAGUGGCUCAACCAUUGUAUGCAUUAGAAACUGGUAGACUUGAGUGCAGGAGAGGAGAGUGGAAUUCCAUGUGUAGCGGUGAAAUGCGUAGAUAUAUGGAGGAACACCGGUGGCGAAAGCGGCUCUCUGGCCUGUAACUGACACUGAGGCUCGAAAGCGUGGGGAGCAAACAGG
rnacentral:rRNA from 1 species